GGGGCCGCGCUGGAUGUUGCAUUGCGGAGUGGCAGCGGAUACAAUGUAACACAGGAUGUAGCAAACGUAACGCUGUCCCGCUGCAACAUGACACGGCCCAAACACCGUGGAGAAUGCACCUUCAUUUGAACCCUCAAAUCACCUCAGCGAGCAACCUGGCGCUCUCGCCCACUGCAUACAGCUUGCCCAGCGCCCGCUGCCCUCCAUAAUGGCGACUCAUCAGGACGGCUGCAGUGUCAAAGUCGCUUUAAGAAUUCGUCCACAGUCAGCCAAAGAGAAGAUUGAGGGAUGCCAUAUCUGUACAUUAGUGACACCAGGGGAGCCACAAGUUAUUAUGGGCAAAGACAAGGCUUUCACAUUUGACUUUACGUUUGAUAUGGAUGCCAGACAAAAUGAAGUCUAUAAAUCCUGUGUUGGUAAACUGGUGGAAGGGUGCUUCGAAGGAUACAAUGCAACCGUGUUUGCUUAUGGACAGACGGGUUCUGGCAAGACGUACACUAUGGGCACUGGGUUCAAUGUGAACAUAAUGGUGGAGGAGCAAGGAAUAAUUCCUCGUGCGGUCAAGCAUCUUUUCGAGGGGAUUGCAGAGCGAAAGCAAGCUGACCAGGACAACGGAAGCCAAGCGCCGGAGUUUAAAGUCACCGCUCAAUUUCUGGAGCUCUACAAUGAAGAGGUCUUGGAUCUGUUUGACAGUACACGAGAAUUGGAUUCACGCCAUAGGAAGUCCAAUAUUAAAAUCCAUGAAGGUGCCAACGGAAACAUUUACACCAGUGGGGCAGUUUCACGUGUUGUUAACACCGAACAAGAGAUGAUCCAGUGCCUGAAGCUGGGGGCUCUUGCUCGAACCACGGCGAGCACACAGAUGAAUGCUGAGAGCUCGCGCUCCCAUGCUAUUUUUACAAUCCACAUCUGCCAAAUGAGGGUCUGCCCAAGACAAGACAUGGUGAACGGAGAGAUAAACGGAGUGGUACAUGAAUCACAGCCCGUCAAUGAGUACGAAACACUUACAGCCAAAUUCCACUUUGUUGACCUUGCCGGUUCAGAAAGGCUGAAGCGGACAGGAGCCACAGGAGAGAGGGCCAAAGAAGGCAUCUCCAUCAACUGUGGUCUGCUAUCACUGGGAAACGUUAUCAGUGCACUGGGAGACCAGAGCAAGAAGAGCCAUCACGUGCCGUACCGAGACUCCAAAUUGACAAGGCUUCUUCAGGAUUCACUGGGAGGAAACAGUCGCACCAUUAUGAUCGCUUGCAUAAGCCCAUCUGACCGUGACUUCAUGGAGACUCUCAACUCCCUGAAAUAUGCCAAUCGAGCCCGAAAUAUCAAGAACAAAGUUACGGUUAACCAGGACAAAACCAGUCAGCAAAUCAGCACUCUGCGAGCUGAGAUUGUUCGGCUCCAGAUGGAGCUGAUGGAAUACAAGACGGGUAAACGAGUCAUUAAUGCUGAUGGUUCUGAAGGCUACAACGACUUAUGCCAUGAAAACAGCAUGCUACAGAAAGAAAAUGACACGUUGAGAAUGAGAUUAAAAGCCAUGCAAGAAACCAUCGACGCACUGAAUGACAGAGUGACACAACUCUUGAGUAACGAAGCCGCUCAGAUAAUCGCCAGUGCAGGAGAUGGCAACGAAGAAAUCAGUGCGCUGAUUCAAAAUUAUAUUCGGGAAAUACAGGAGUUAAGGACCAAGCUGUUGGAGAGUGAAGCCAUGAAUGAGUCUCUUCGCCGCAACGUCUCUCGACUGACGUCCAGGUCUCCGUAUUCAGCGGGAUUGUCUCCCAUGCCUUGCUCUGCAAAUUUCGCCGUCUCUCUGGAAUCCGAUACCUCUGAGGUUGUUGAACUGGCAAAAAAGGACUUGGAGCUGCUGAAGAAAGAAAGGAUACAAAGGAAAAAUAGUCCAGAGAAAGAGAAAAGAAGAAGAAAUGUAACGACGGAGAAUUGGGAAGAGACAGAUGACAAUGAAGCAGAAGAGGAAGAAAGUUGCUGUGAAGAAGAAGAAGAAGGUGGAGAUGAAGAUGAGUUUGACAGCGAUGGAAGUCUGGAUGAAACGGAUACUGAAUCGGAGGAGAAAGUCAAUUAUCAGGCUGACCUUGCUGACAUAACCUGUGAGAUUGAAAUCAAGCAGAAACUGAUCGAUGAGCUUGAGAACAGCCAACGACGAUUGCAAAUAUUGAGGCAACAAUACGAGGAAAAGCUUAUCCUCCUGCAGAACAAAAUCCGGGACACACAGCUGGAAAGAGACCGUGUUCUGAAGAACCUCGGUUCUAUGGAGUGCAACACGGAAGAGAGAGCCUGCAAGAUUAAAGCAGACUACGAGAAAAAACUAAAGGAGAUGAACCGAGAGCUCCUGAAACUGCAGACGGCACAGAAAGAACAUGCACGCCUCCUCAAAAAUCAAACUCGUUACGAACGGGAGUUGAGGAAACUGCAGAAUGAAGUGGCUGAGAUGAGGAAGACGAAGGUGACUCUGAUGAAACAGAUGAGGGAUGACCAGCAGCGAAUGAGGAUGAUCGAAAGCAAGAGGAACCGUGAAAUAGCACAGCUGAAAAAGGAACAGCGACGACAAGAAUACCAAAUUCGAACUUUGGAGUCCCAGAAGAGGCAACAGGAACUUGUGCUACGCAGGAAAACACAAGAGGUCAGCGCUCUACGAAGAUUAGCCAAGCCCAUGUCCAACCGAGUUGCUGGUCGUGUAAGCCGUAAACAGACUAUCUUGGAUUCGGGCAUGGAACUGUCAGCCAGUACUUCUUCAGAGGCAGAGUCAGCCUCCAAGUCCGUGUCCAAUAUCGUUAAACAGUGGAACAGAAAGUUAAAUGCCGCUUGGAAUGAAACCGUUUCUGCGGUAAAUGGAACCAGAACUGUGAGAAAGAACAAGUACCAGAAGAAGGGAGUUGGUGAAAUCUUUUCCAAAGCAGCUCGGCUGAAGUGGCAGGCGCUGGAGUCCAGGAUCAGUGACAUUGUGAUGCAGAGGAUGACAAUCUCCAACCUGGAAGCGGACAUGAAUCGUCUUCUGGCGAAACGGGAGGAACUAAUUGGCCUCCAGGAAAUUCUACACGGGAAAAGGGAACGGAUUUGCAAUGAAAAUCCGGACGAUAGAUCUAUCCAGGAAAUAAACGAGGAGCUUGAGACCUUGAAUGCCAACAUUGACUACAUCAAUGAUAACAUUUCUGAAUGCCAGGCCACCAUCAUGCAGAUCGAAGAAACCAAGGAUGAGAUUAAUUCAACCGACACGUCUGUUGUGAUAAGUUCGUGUUCCCUAGCUGAAGCACGCCAUCUGCUGGAUCACUUUCUGAAAAUGUCAAUCGACAAGGGUAUGCAGGUGGCCCAGAAAGAGGCUCAGAUUAAGCUGCUGGAAGGUCGAUUGAAGCAAGUGGAUGUGACUGAUUCGAUUCCAAAUCAGCUGAUUAGCAUGCUGCGGGAGAAGGCUGAAUCUAUUCCUGAACUGCAGACGUUGCUUCAAAGUGUCUCACAAGAAAAUGGAGAAAUAAGCAGCGAUGAGGAAACCUCUGAGUGUAGCAUCGGGCUGGACAGUAGUUCAAUUUCAAGUUCUCACCCGAAGCAUUCACUGAGUCAAGGAGAUUUCAGGAUACAGACUGAGCAAAGAACGGAGCUACAUUAUCAGGAAGGUUAUGGCUCAGCUCUGGACAUGUCUACCCCAGGGCUAUUUAGAGCAGCUGACGGGAAAGAAAAUGGCAUCAAGACUGUUGACAUCCUCACACGGAGCCCAAAGGAUAAAGAGUCCAUCGUUUUUCAACCCAGGUCCGGAAACACUUUUCCCAGGCAGUCUACUAAGAAACUGCAGGAUACGUCACCACUCUCAAGGAGAAAAUCCUACGAUAAAGUACAGAUCUUAACUGACAAAUCCAGAUCUGAAUGGAGAGUUUCUGAAAUGAAUCUAACGCCUCCGUCCUCCCCACCCACCCGAGCUCGUAACGACAGGAACGUGUUCUCACGACUCAGCAAUACCCAGCUUCAAACAUUCCCUGCACACGACAAGUCUGAUGACAGUGACUCCUCUCUCUCGGAGGUUCCCAGGGGCGUUAUUAAUCCGGUCGGUGGAACCAAGGGUGGCAGGACUGCGCCGCUCCAGUGCAUUUCAGUUGCUGAAGGACAUUCUAAACCUGUGCUGUGUCUUGAUGCAACCAAUGACCUGCUGUUCACCGGUUCAAAAGAUCGGACCUGCAAAGUGUGGAAUCUGGCCACGGGACAGGAAAUCAGUACCCUGAAAGGACAUCCGAACAAUGUGGUCUCGGUCAAAUACUGCGGUUACUCCAGCCUUGUGUUCACUGUGUCUACAUCGUACAUCAAAGUCUGGGAUAUCCGAGACACUCCUAAAUGCAUCAAGACACUAACAUCCUCUGGUCAAGUAACUUCAGGUGAUGCAUGUACAGGAACAGUCAGUCGCACGGUGAGCAUUGCACAAGGUGAACACCAGAUCAACCAGAUUGCGCUGAACCCCACAGGCACUCUCCUCUACGCUGCAACUGGUAACUGUGUUCGCAUCUGGGACCUUAAGAAAAUUCAACCUGUAGGAAAACUCAUGGGUCACAUUGGUCCUGUGAUGUGCCUCACAGUGGAGAGAGCAGCGGCUAAACAUGAUUUGGUCAUCACUGGCUCUAAAGACCAUUAUGUGAAGAAGUUUGAAAUAGCUGAGAGUACUCUGGGAAAUGUUGGUCCCACACAUAAUUUUGAGCCUCCACACUACGACGGGAUUGAAUCUCUGGGAAUCCAUGGAGACAUCCUGUUCAGUGGAUCGAGAGACAAUGGAAUCAAAAAAUGGGACUUGGAAAGACAAGAACUAAUACAGCAAAUCCCAAACGCUCACAAAGAUUGGGUGUGCGCGCUGGCAUUUGUCCCAGGUCGUGACAUGUUGCUAAGUGGUUGCCGAGGGGGAAUACUUAAAGUUUGGAACAUCGACAACUUCACCCUGCUGGGAGAGAUCAGAGGGCAUGACAGUCCUAUUAAUGCCAUCUGCACAAACUCCAGCAGGAUUUUCACUGCAUCCAGUGAUUGCCGGGUAAAGCUAUGGAAUUAUGUGGCGGGUCUUACUCCUUGUUUACCUCGACGUGUCCUUGCCAUUAAGAGCCGUGCCAGUAGCAUACCUUAAACCCCUGAUUUCUGCUCUUCUCUGCACUUAGUUCAUCUUCGCUGCUCAUCGUGACUGUAGAAUAAAAACUUGGACUGCUAAAGGAUUAAAAAAUGGGUACGUUAUGGACAUUAGAGACAGCGGUCAGGAACUCUCUUGACACCAUCCAAGGGUGCACUUCAUGCCA